AACUUAAAGUAGGAGUCCGGCUGGGUACUAUCGAUAGCACCAAAGAUUUGGUGCUAUCGAGUUUUCCGCCGUUAGAUUUAACCCUUUGAUUAUUUUUACCCGUUAGAUUAUACUAUUCAACCAACCACUUACUCAAUCCUAGGGGACCCACAUCAUCCUAACCAUCCAUUUAUCAAUCUAAGGGCUAAAAAAUCAAUAGCACCAAUAGCUUUGUGCUAUUGAUAGUAUUCCAGCCUAGUUCUUUAAAGAAGUUAAUAUUAGUUAAAUAGCCAAGAAAUAAUAAAACUCACAC
rnacentral:lncRNA from 1 species